rnacentral:rRNA from 1 species
CUACGGGUGGCUGCAGUGAGGAAUAUUGCACAAUGGGGGGAACCCUGAUGCAGCAACGCCGCGUGGAGGAUGACGCAUUUCGGUGUGUAAACUCCUUUUAUAUGUCAAGAAAAUGACGGUAGCAUAUGAAUAAGCACCGGCUAACUCCGUGCCAGCAGCCGCGGUAAUACGGAGGGUGCAAGGUGUACUCGGAAUCACUGGGCGUAAAGGACGCGUAGGCGGGUUGGAAAGUCAGGUGUGAAAUCCUACAGCUUAACUGUAGAACUGCACUUGAAACUUCUAAUCUAGAGUAUGGGAGGGGGGGAUGGAAUUAGUGGUGUAGGGGUAAAAUCCGUAGAUAUCACUAGGAAUACCUAAAGCGAAGGCGAUCUCCUGGAACAUUACUGACGCUAAGGCGUGAAAGCGUGGGGAGCAAACAGGAUUAGAUACCCUAGUAGUC